rnacentral:lncRNA from 1 species
UGUGUAUAUGCAUUUACAUGCAAUAUAUUGUAUAUGUGCAAAUUGUAAGAAUUCUACCUACUGUAACUGAAUAAUGAAAAAAAAGGAAACUGGCUAAUCUAAAAAAAAAAAAAAUCAAGCCUUUAAUAAUAAGAAAAGCCCUCUGUGCUCCGCCUGUCCCUCCCUCCACCCCCCACCCCACCACCGCCCAGCAACUGCUGACCUGGUCCGUCAUCAGCCUUACGGGCAGGGCGACCUGCUCUGUGUCUGUCACCUGGGACAGGUGUGUGCGACCUGGGUGGGCGGCGUGGCGUUUUUACGGCUCCGAGACUGCGCGCUGACAGAGUGCGCCACCAUCCUCGAGCCUGGGGGGACCCGCUUCUCCGGGGACGCGGCUUCCUCAGGCCGACCUCUGCUCCCGGCGGUGAGAGAGAACGCCUCCCUGUCUGGGCACCUGUGUGUGGCGAGGACCCUCUGGAGCGAAGCCUGAGGCGAGGGUCUGGUGCCCGCGGAUGGACGGGCGGGAAGUCACAGGGCUGGGGUGGCAGGAGGGGACUCCUGACAGCUGUCCUUCCCCCGGGGAGGGAGGGGGGCGGUAAAACCCACGCAUUUUCAGGCCAGCGGGUGUGCAUUUGGACACGUGGAUGGAGGGGGCCCAUGAACACGGGUGGGACAAGGCUGCUGUCUGCUGCAGCAGGAGGCCCCGUCUCGGUUCCCGCCCUGCCCGCCGCGGCUCUGACACCACGCGCUGCAGGGCGGAACCCAGAGGUUUCUUUUCACUCUUACUUUCCUGCCGCGCUCUCCCGUGGAGCUGAGUGCAAACUCAACCCUCGACCACCCCACUGGCGUGAACGCAGGGCAGGAUGUCCCCUCGGGCUGGCGUCCAGGGGGGUCACUCGCCUGCGUGGUAACAAAUCAGGCUGGCCGUGCUGCUUCCUUUGGGUGAGAGAGGCGGAUGUCGGAAUGCAGACAUGUCCUCCAGGUGUCCUCUCCCGGAACCAACUUUCUUCGACUUUGGUUUUGAACUUCAAGAAAAGGACAGCCCAGGAUAGAUACGGACGUAGAUGCAGGGGAGUCCCCAGGGGGGACCCUGUUUCAUCCGUGGAAAAUGCAAGUGGGGCCGCUACAAGUCCCCGGCGACUGAACGCCCACACCAGCUGCAGAAUCGACGAGGCCGUCCCUUCCUGGAGAUGCAGAUCACGGAGGUGGCUCCCCUCCCAUCCUGUCAGCUCCUGA